UACGGAGGGAGCUAGCGUUGUUCGGAAUUACUGGGCGUAAAGCGCACGUAGGCGGCUUUGUAAGUUAGAGGUGAAAGCCCGGAGCUCAACUCCGGAAUUGCCUUUAAGACUGCAUCGCUCGAAUCCAGGAGAGGUGAGUGGAAUUCCGAGUGUAGAGGUGAAAUUCGUAGAUAUUCGGAAGAACACCAGUGGCGAAGGCGGCUCACUGGACUGGUAUUGACGCUGAGGUGGCGAAAGCGUGGGGAGCAAACAGG
rnacentral:rRNA from 1 species